UGUAAUUUUGAACAAGGCUUCUACUAAAUGGACAUAUACCAGUAACUCUAAAGCUAGACUGGAUGUUUUUCAUUGUAAAUGAUUUAGUCCAAGCCUUCGAAAAGAGCCCACAAAAAUCAUAAACAGAUAUGUUGGUCCUCCCUGGAUUAUCAACAAAGAACUGGUGACAUAAGUUGACAGAAAUCGACCUUGUAGUGGACCCAAUGACUUUUCUAUUACUACUGAGUAAUAAACUAAACAGUAAUGAUAGUAAGGAUGAAAUUUAAUGCUUUUUUAAAGACUAGAUAAUCCACAAAGACCAGGUUGUGCACAUCCAGCAAAUAAAAUCAUCAUCCUUUUUUAUUCCUCUACAAACUUUGAAGUGCUUGGGGGUACAUAGUCUUAUCUCUGGGUUUCUCCGUAAAACACAUGCCACCAUUCUUUUUUCAGGAAUAUUGUUGGAAACUGUCAGCCCUUUUGUCCGAGGCAGCGAGACUAUCUGAUACCCUAUUUUAAUUAUUUUGAUAAUCCACUAUACUAAUUCAUUCUUUUCUUGUAUAGGUGAUGGACCAGGCCUUCCUGAAACUUGCUUAAUUUUUGAAGCUGGAGUGGUCAUGCAUGCAUGUAUUGGUGGAGCUCUUUGGUAUUGAGUAUUUUCUCAAGCAGUAACAGAGAUUUUUCAUCACAAACUGUCUCUAUAACCUUUUCCAAGUCUUUAGUCUUCCAUUUCCCCCUUCUGUUUGCUGUUACUGUGUGAUUAUUAUCACUGUCUGGUAACUGCCUCCGUCACCAAGGUGUAUUUGCUCUUAAAUAACUCUUACUACGUUAUUUAUAUAUUGUUUUACAUAGUUCCAUCAAAUAGUGUAAUUAAUUUCCUUUGUAUUGAUAUAUAAUGUUGGCAUAUU